AGCAUGAAGAGUUCAGAUCACGUU
rnacentral:miRNA from 1 species